rnacentral:rRNA from 1 species
CCUACGGGGGGCAGCAGUGGGGGAUAUUGCGCAAUGGGGGAAACCCUGAUGCAGCGACGCCGCGUGAGUGAAGAAGUAUUUCGGUAUGUAAAGCUCUGUCAGCAGGGAAGAAAAUGACAGUACCUUACUAAGAAGCCCCGGCUAACUACGUGCCAGCAGCCGCGGUAAUACGUAGGGGGCAAGCGUUAUCCGGAUUUACUGGGUGUAAAGGGAGCGUAGACGGUUGUGUAAGUCUGGAGUGAAAGCCCGGGGCUCAACCCCGGGACUGCUUUGGAAACUGUGUAACUGGAGUGCAGGAGAGGCAGGCGGAAUUCCGGGUGUAGCGGUGAAAUGCGUAGAGAUCAGGAGGAACACCAGCGGCGAAGGCGGCCUGCUGGACUGAAACUGACGUUGAGGCUCGAAAGCGUGGGGAGCAAACAGGAUUAGAUACCCUGGUAGUC